UUUGAUCCUGGCUCAUGACGAACGCUGGCGGCGUGCUUAACACAUGCAAGUCGAACGGAGAACUUAUUUCGGAAAGUUCUUAGUGGCGAACGGGUGAGUAACGCGUGGGCAACCUGCCCUCCAGUUGGGGACAACAUUCCGAAAGGGAUGCUAAUACCGAAUGUGCUCCCUCCUCCGCAUGGAGGAGGGAGGAAAGAUGGCCUCUGCUUGCAAGCUAUCGCUGGAAGAUGGGCCCGCCUCUGAUUAGCUAGUUGGUGGGGUAACCGCUCACCAAGGCGAUGAUCAGUAGCCGGUCUGAGAGGAUGAACGGCCACAUUGGGACUGAGACACGGCCCAAACUCCUACGGGAGGGAGCAGUGGGGAAUCUUCCGCAAUGGACGAAAGUCUGACGGAUCAACGCCGCGUGAGUGAUGAAGGUCUUCCGAUUGUAAAACUCUGUUGUUAGGGACGAAAGCACCGUGUUCUAACAGGUCAUGGUGUUGACAGUACUUAACGAGGAAGCCGCGGCUAACUACGUGCCAACAGCCGCAGUAAUACUCAGGUGGCAAGCGUUGUCCCGAAUUAUUCGGCGCAAAGAGCAUGUCGCCGGGCUUUUAAGUCUGACGUGAAAAUGCGGGGCUUAACCCCGGAUGGCGGUGGAUACUGGAAGACUUGAGUGCUCGAGAGGAAAGGGGAAUUCCCUGGUGUACGGUGAAAAGCCUAGAUUUUGGGAGGAACUCCCGUGGCGAAGGCCCCUUUCUGGACUGAGGCCGAGGCUGAGAUGCCAAGCGCCAUGGUACCCAACGGGAUUUGAUUCCCCGGUAGGCCUGGGCCCAAACGAAGGACACCAAGUUUUGGGGGGGUCGACCCCUUCUGUGCCGCAGCUAACGCAAUAAGUAUCCCGCCUGGGGACUACGAUCGCAAGAUUGAAACUCAAAGGAAUUGACGGGGGCCCGCACAAGCGGUGGAGUAUGUGGUUUAAUUCGACGCAACGCGAAAGAACCUUACCAAGGCUUGACAUUGAGUGAAAGACCUAGAGAUAGGUCCCUCCCUUGGGGGACACGAAAACAGGUGGUGCAUGGCUGUCGUCAGCUCGUGUCGUGAGAUGUUGGGUUAAGUCCCGCAACGAGCGCAACCCCUAUCCUAUGUUUCCAGCGCGCAAAGGCGGGGACUCAUAGGAGACUGCCAGGGAUAACUUGGAGGAAGGCGGGGAUGACGUCAAGUCAUCAUGCCCCUUAUGUCUUGGGCUACACACGUACUACAAUGGUGGGCAACAAAGGGCAGCGAAACCGCGAGGUGGAGCAAAUCCCAGAAACCCGACCCCAGUUCGGAUCGUAGGCUGCAACCCGCCUACGUGAAGUUGGAAUCGCUAGUAAUCGCAGGUCAGCAUACUGCGGUGAAUACGUUCCCGGGCCUUGUACACACCGCCCGUCACACCACGAAAGUUGGUAACACCCGAAGCCGGUGAGAUAACCUUUUAGGAGUCAGCUGUCUAAGGUGGGGCCGAUGAUUGGGGUGAAG
rnacentral:rRNA from 1 species